rnacentral:rRNA from 1 species
CGGAGUGGACGCAUCACUGGUGUUCGGGUUGUCAUGCCAAUGGCACUGCCCGGUAGCUAAAUGCGGAAGAGAUAAGUGCUGAAAGCAUCUAAGCACGAAACUUGCCCCGAGAUGAGUUCUCCCUGACUCCUUGAGAGUCCUGAAGGAACGUUGAAGACGACGACGUUGAUAGGCCGGAUGUGUAAGCGCAGCGAUGCGUUGAGCUAACCGGUACUAAUGAACCGUGAGGCUUAACCUU